rnacentral:tRNA from 1 species
CGGGGUGUAGCUCAAUCGGCUAGAGCGCUUGGUUCGGGACCAAGAGGUUCGCGGUUCAAGUCCGCGCACCCCGA